UUAAAAGUGAGGAGGCGGCUUAUAAGAUUGUCUCUUCAUAGGGAAGAACAUUGAGGUAUAUCAAAAACGAAGGCCGAGAUAUCGUUUCAGUCGUCAUUUCUCCAUUGACGAUCUGAUUGUUGCUCGUCCACAU
rfam:Gossypium raimondii Chr09_contig_228, whole genome shotgun sequence.